GAUGAAGAACGUAGCGAAAUGCGAUAAGUAAUGUGAAUUGCAGAAUUCAGUGAAUCAUCGAAUCUUUGAACGCACAUUGCGCCCGCCAGUAUACUGGCGGGCAUGCCUGUUCGAGCGUCAUUUCAACCAUCAAGCCCCCGGCUUGUGUUGGGGACCUGCGGCUGCCGCAGGCCCUGAAAAGCAGUGGCGGGCUCGCUGUCACACCGAGCGUAGUAGCAUACAUCUCGCUCUGGGCGUGCUGCGGGUUCCGGCCGUUAAACCACCUUCAUAACCCAAGGUUGACCUCGGAUCAGGUAGGAAGACCCGCUGAACUUAAGCAUAUCAAUAAGCGGAGGA
rnacentral:misc_RNA from 1 species